AACGAACGCUGGCGGCAGGCUUAACUCAUGCAAGUCGAGCGCCCCGCAAGGGGAGCGGCAGACGGGUGAGUAACGCGUGGGAAUCUACCCAUCUCUACGGAAUAACGCAUGGAAACGUGUGCUAAUACCGUAUACGUCCUUCGGGAGAAAGAUUUAUCGGAGAUGGAUGAGCCCGCGUUGGAUUAGCUAGUUGGUGGGGUAAAGGCCUACCAAGGCGACGAUCCAUAGCUGGUCUGAGAGGAUGAUCAGCCACACUGGGACUGAGACACGGCCCAGACUCCUACGGGAGGCAGCAGGGGGGAAGAUUGUACAAGGGGCGCAAGGCUGAUCCAGCCAUGCCGCGUGAGUGAUGAAGGCCCUAGGUUUGUAAAGCUCUUUCACCGGUGAAGAUAAUGACGGUAACCGGAGAAGAAGCCCCGGCUAACUUCGUGCCAGCCGCCGCCGUAAUAC
rnacentral:rRNA from 1 species